CAACAACAACUGAAAACAGUUACAGCCACAACAACAACCAAUGAUGCUUCAACAAAACUACAAGCUUUGUGGUGGCUCACUGUGUUUGUGAGAGUUGCAGGAUUAAUAAUAAUUGUUGUUGUUGUUGCUCUCAUCAGAUGGAAGAAAACUAAAGG